rnacentral:rRNA from 1 species
CAGUCGCCACGGGAAUACGUAGGUGGCAAGCGUUGUCCGGAAUUAUUGGGCGUAAAGGGCUCGCAGGCGGUUUCUUAAGUCUGAUGUGAAAGCCCCCGGCUCAACCGGGGAGGGUCAUUGGAAACUGGGAAACUUGAGUGCAGAAGAGGAGAGUGGAAUUCCACGUGUAGCGGUGAAAUGCGUAGAGAUGUGGAGGAACACCAGUGGCGAAGGCGACUCUCUGGUCUGUAACUGGCGCUGAGGAGCGAAAGCGUGGGGAGCGAACAGGAUUAGAUACCCCCGUAGUCCCUGUCUCUUAUAC